rnacentral:tRNA from 1 species
ACCGCGAUAGGUCAGUUGGUAGAGCAUCUGUCCGUCAAGUAGAAUGUUGCCUGUUCGGUUCCGGCUCGCGGCU